rfam:Schistosoma rodhaini strain Burundi genome assembly, scaffold: SROB_scaffold0014280
AUCUAGCUGAUGAGUCCCAAAUAGAAUGGAACGCGCGUCCUAGAU